AGAUCUUCAUUCGAAGAGGGGAUGGAUGGUUGAUUGAUUGAUUCCUACUACUCCUAAAACCCUUAACAAUGGCUUCUAGCCGCCGGGUCAGGGGCGGGUAUGUAUAUGAGAAUCCUAUUUGAAUCCGUACUGUCAGAGUCUCAGAGAAGACUGAGGACUAAUUUGGGUUUCGUUUUUAUUUUUAUCAGGGCUGGACAAAAUUGGGAUACGAGCCCUGUGAAUUGUGGGCCACGCGAAAAGAAUUCAGCAGAAGGAGACCAAGCUGGGCCGUUAGAUGAUUGAAAUGGAUAUCCGCAUGGGCCUUCUUUUCUUGGCGGGCUAAUUAG
rnacentral:lncRNA from 1 species